AGAGUUUGAUCCUGGCUCAGGAUGAACGCUGGCGGCGUGCUUAACACAUGCAAGUCGAACGAUGAUCCCAGCUUGCUGGGGGAUUAGUGGCGAACGGGUGAGUAACACGUGAGUAACCUGCCCUUAACUCUGGGAUAAGCCUGGGAAACUGGGUCUAAUACCGGAUAUGACUCCUCAUCGCAUGGUGGGGGGUGGAAAGCUUUAUUGUGGUUUUGGAUGGACUCGCGGCCUAUCAGCUUGUUGGUGAGGUAAUGGCUCACCAAGGCGACGACGGGUAGCCGGCCUGAGAGGAUGACCGGCCACACUGGGACUGAGACACGGCCCAGACUCCUACGGGAGGCAGCAGUGGGGAAUAUUGCACAAUGGGCGAAAGCCUGAUGCAGCGACGCCGCGUGAGGGAUGACGGCCUUCGGGUUGUAAACCUCUUUCAGUAGGGAAGAAGCGAAAGUGACGGUACCUGCAGAAGAAGCGCCGGCUAACUACGUGCCAGCAGCCGCGGUAAUACGUAGGGCGCAAGCGUUAUCCGGAAUUAUUGGGCGUAAAGAGCUCGUAGGCGGUUUGUCGCGUCUGCCGUGAAAGUCCGGGGCUCAACUCCGGAUCUGCGGUGGGUACGGGCAGACUAGAGUGAUGUAGGGGAGACUGGAAUUCCUGGUGUAGCGGUGAAAUGCGCAGAUAUCAGGAGGAACACCGAUGGCGAAGGCAGGUCUCUGGGCAUUAACUGACGCUGAGGAGCGAAAGCAUGGGGAGCGAACAGGAUUAGAUACCCCGGUAGUCC
rnacentral:rRNA from 1 species